UAGAAUUCCACGUGUAGCAGUGAAAUGCGUAGAGAUGUGGAGGAAUACCGAUGGCGAAGGCAGCCCCCUGGGCCAAUACUGACGCUCAUGCACGAAAGCGUGGGGAGCAAACAGGAUUAGAUACCCUGGUAGUCCACGCCCUAAACGAUGUCAACUAGUUGUUGG
rnacentral:rRNA from 1 species